ACGGAAGGCAGCAGUGGGGGAUAUUGCACAAUGGGGGAAACCCUGAUGCAGCGACGCCGCGUGAGUGAAGAAGUAUUUCGGUAUGUAAAGCUCUAUCAGCAGGGAAGAAAAUGACGGUACCUGACUAAGAAGCUCCGGCUAAAUACGUGCCAGCAGCCGCGGUAAUACGUAUGGAGCAAGCGUUAUCCGGAUUUACUGGGUGUAAAGGGAGCGUAGACGGUUUGCCAAGUCUGAUGUGAAAGCUUGGGGCUCAACCCCGAAACUGCAUUGGAAACUGGUAGACUAGAGUGUCGGAGAGGUAAGUGGAAUUCCUAGUGUAGCGGUGAAAUGCGUAGAUAUUAGGAGGAACACCAGUGGCGAAGGCGGCUUACUGGACGAUAACUGACGUUGAGGCUCGAAAGCGUGGGGAGCAGACAGGAUUAGAUACCCUGGUA
rnacentral:rRNA from 1 species